rnacentral:lncRNA from 1 species
AUUUAUUAUGAAAUUAUAGUACCGGUUGAAUUUCAGUAACAGUUAGCAUGAAUGCUGGACUAUUUGAAAUGUUAUGCUUUUAAUUAUGAGGGUAUCUAGAUGUUGUUAAGCACUUGUUUGUGUUUUGUUUUUUGUGUAACACAGGUCAUCCUUUAUAACUUUUGGAUGUCCUAACAGGUAACUUUAACCAGGUUUACUUUGAUUAAUAUAGGCCUUCUUGUGAUAUCCAAGUUCAAAUCACCUUGUCCUUUAAUGGAAAUAAGGUUUCAUUUGGGCAACCUGGUUCAAACCCAAGAUGAGAGAGAGAGAGAGUGGUUGCUGCUGUUAUACUAAAUGUUUGUUUCUGCUUACAUGGAUUUAGACUCUAGUAUAGGGUUCUCAUAGUCAUUCUUUUAAUUUGCGUUUGCCUGAGUUGAUCCAGUUAUUCUUGCUUUGUAUUUAUGGGCGUUUACAUUAUAAUAAUUUCACUCCUACAUAGUCAUCUUACACAUUCAGGUAUUGACCAUCCAAUCUUUUAUGGUAAUACACUUUACAACGGACAAAUGUCAGCUUUUACCUCAAAAACUAACAAAACAUAAAAGCAAACUUAUAUAAAGUAGAAAUACUGUUGCCUGCAUAUAUAUGGCUUAUUUUGGCUUCAAUAUUGAUUCACUUGCACAUCUAUGCAUCAGACUAAAACUCCUUUAUUUUUAAACCAGUUGCAGGUAUGAUAAGAGUUAUGUUUUCUCUAAUAUAUUUUAUGGUGAUAUGAUAUUAAACCCCCAUGACGGGUUGGUGCUAGAUUUUCGUAUAUUCAAGACAUAGUUUUUCGAACAGUUUAAUUGAGGUCUGGAGCUGGCAUGUUGGUAACUGUUCGUAGUCCCUUGUUGAUUUUUGUAAUAUCGUCAUUUUCAAUUUUUGUUUUGUUUAAUUUGUUACUUAUUCUGAUAUUGGACUCUUUAUGAUUUUUACUGUGCGUAUUGUUGUGCGUUGCUUCUUCUUCAUUUAGUUGAGAUUUUGAAAAACUUGUUUAACCCCUCGCCAUUUAAGUAUCUGUUCCAAGUCUGGGGCCUCUGGCCUAUGUUAGCUUGGGAUGAACUUUUAUUUUUAGAUUUGAGUUUAGUAUGACAUUUCAUUAUCACUAAUCUGGAAAAAAAAAAAAAUCAUUAUGGAUGAAGCCAUUUCUGGUUUUUAGAGGGAUUGCUUCAGAUGCUUGGCCCCAACUGCAGAUGUUUAUCCUGCUAUUACCCCAAGGGAAUUUUUACAGUUAUUUCAGACCUUUAGUAACCGUUUAUUUGUAAGUUCCACACCACCCGUACAUACCAUGUAUCAGAGAGGACAGUCUUUCUUUUUUUCAUGAGUUCGGUUCUCUAGUUGAUUUAUUGAAUUACAUUUCCUAUCUCUUUAUGAAUUGUUAAGGUAUUGCUUACUUGUACAUUUUGUAUCUCUCUCAACAAAAAUUGUGACAUUACUAAUUUACUAGGAUUGGAUUUUUUUUUUUUUUUAGUAAUUUAAUGUGUGUCAAAAUUGAGGUUUGAGUUUUUAAGAAGGUAUUAAACACUCCAGGCCAGAGUCAUGCUGAAGUUUAGCAAUAUUUUCUUAUCUUGUGUUGGUAUGAAUUCAGUGUAUUUGAAGCUGUCCUUUCAUUGAUUUUGGAGGAUUUUUAAAUGGGUUGGAGAUCCAAUACUGACACUUAAUACAGGGUUUUACAGAAGAAUUAUUAUUUUUCUUGAUUUAUUAUGCUUUAAAUUGU